GAUGAACGCUGGCGGCGUGCCUAAUACAUGCAAGUCGAGCGAACAGACGAGGAGCUUGCUCCUCUGACGUUAGCGGCGAACGGGUGAGUAACACGUGGAUAACCUACCUAUAAGACUGGGAUAACUUCGGGAAACCGGAGCUAAUACCGGAUAAUAUAUUGAACCGCAUGGUUCAAUAGUGAAAGACGGUUUUGCUGUCACUUAUAGAUGGAUCCGCGCCGCAUUAGCUAGUUGGUAAGGUAACGGCUUACCAAGGCAACGAUGCGUAGCCGACCUGAGAGGGUGAUCGGCCACACUGGAACUGAGACACGGUCCAGACUCCUACGGGAGGCAGCAGUAGGGAAUCUUCCGCAAAGGGCGAAAGCCUGACGGAGCAACGCCGCGUGAGUGAUGAAGGUCUUCGGAUCGUAAAACUCUGUUAUUAGGGAAGAACAAAUGUGUAAGUAACUAUGCACGUCUUGACGGUACCUAAUCAGAAAGCCACGGCUAACUACGUG
rnacentral:rRNA from 1 species